rnacentral:lncRNA from 1 species
CCAAAAUCCAUCAAUUUGUGUGAUCCUGUGAAAGGAUAGGAAGAGAGGAGAAAGGGUCUACUCUUCGCACUCCCUGCAGAUUCCGCAGCGCGAUCGGAUUAAAGACGGAGCCUACAACAAUCUUGGAUCACGGUGCUGAGCAGAUCAAACAAGAUCUCUGAACGGAUGGCAUCAAAAGGUACGCAUCGUAUAAUUAGAUCUAUGCAUUGAAUUUCAAAUCCUGGCAUAUAGGUUAAUUCCGCAUAAUUGAUUUAGCAUAAUUACAGAUUUUUUAUGCUUACAAUGGGUAUCAGAGCCCGAUUUUUGAAAUCAUGCAUUAGAUCUGUAAAUUAAUUUAUGAUGCAUAAUUACCUUUAUCUUCCAAGAACUGCUAAGCAGUAAUGGUCACCGUCGACCUCGCUGCAAAUUUGCGGUUACGCCGAGUAGCGUACGCAUUACAGAACUCGUCCCAUAUGCGGACAUUACAGAACUCGUCCCAUAUGCGGACAUUACAGAAC